GUUUUGAAUGUGAGAGUUGCAGGAAACUGAACACGUUUACCACUUAUAAACAGGUUCGGUUUCCUCCAACAUCUCAUCUUCAAUGG
rnacentral:pre_miRNA from 1 species